rnacentral:rRNA from 1 species
GUGAAAUUGUUGAAAGGGAAGCGCUUACUACCAGACUUGGCUAUUAGGGCCCGCGUAGAGAUGCGUCUCUGCUUGCUCCCUGAUGGCUGGGCCAGCGUCGGUUGGGGCGGUCGGAUAAGGGCCGUGGGAAUGUAGUUCUCUUCGGGGAAUGUUAUAGCCCAUGGCGCGAUGCGGCCAGCCCCGACCGAGGAUCGCGCUUCGGCUCGGACGCUGGCAUAAUGGCCGUAAGCGGCCCGUCUUGAAACACGGACCAAGGAGUCA